UAAAAAGGUCCCUUGGCCUUUGGAAUUAAAAUAUCCCCACACCAUUCACCAUGCCUGGAGAUUGGCAUGGUUUUGUAAAUCCAGGAGACAAUCUGUAAUUAUGACAAGAAAUCUGUUCUAGAUCUGUUCUAUCUUUAUAUUGGGACACUGUGGACUUGCAUGGGAUCUAGCGAAGAUUGGCAAACAUGAAGAUGGACUUUGUAGAAUCUGCAAUCAGCAACAGACUGUUAAUCAUGUGUUUAUGGAAUGUCAGCAGUAUAAAAGGCAAAGAGAACAACUUUAUUCUGUGAUAUCAGGAGAUAUUACAAGCAGUGACACUGAGAGAUAUUUUGAAUCCUCAUGAGAACCAAUUAAGGAUAGUGGAAGCCGUCAUGAAUUUUAUAUCGGCAACAGGAUUAGCCCUAUAUAUGAGAAUGAUGGAAAUAUAAAGCGAUACCGAGACUGAACUGUGGGAGGCAGCAAUAUGCCGUAAGGCAUCUAGUCUGCCGGAAAGCCAGAAGAAGAAGAAGAAGAAGAAGAAGAAGAACGAACGAACGAUACUCCACGUUGAUUGCGAUUCCAAAUGUGGGUCUGAGCGUACAGCACGAGGAAGCACCUGCAGCUCGGUAGCACAGAGGUUUGGAGCUGAAUCCUGCAUUAGAGAGAGCCCUGCAUUGAAAGUGGAGAUGUUUUGUGAUACAGCAAGAUCCCACAUCGACAACUUCCGCUUCUUCAAACAGAGGAUCUCUUCCAAACAUGGAGACCAAAAACCAAAUGGAUAAUAGGAAACAAGCCAGCAGUUGCACCUGAAUCUGAACUUAAGUGUGGAAAUGUCAAGAGUUCUACAGGUAACCGACUUGUGAACUUGUACUUCUUAGGGUUGCAGUGGUAUGAGAUUUUCACAGUACAAAAGCAGUUUCAGAAAUGAUCAUGGUUUAAUGGUAUAUGGUCCUGCUCAAUCAAAUGUGAGAGUCAUUUUUAAAUAUAUUAUAUUUUUAAAAAUAGUUUGCCAUUGGAUCAUUUUUUACUCCUACUCCAAUAACAAUAAAUAUUAUUUCUAUAAGUCCUUUUAUUUUAGUACAGCUUUUGGAUAUUCUGCCCACCUCUGCUGUCACACCACAUAGCCUUGAUUUUCAAAACUACAUUUACUGUUUGAAUUGUGUGAUAAAAGUGACAUAAUUUGAGACUUUUUGCUUUAUUUUUGACUAGAUACAAAGCUCAUCACAGUUUACAUCUGUAAACUGUGGAUGGAAGGGAUAGUGUUUAGUUGGGCAACUACUGAAAAUAGCAUAGGCUAAAACAUUGAUCUCGGGAUUUAAGAUUUGAUAUAGGGCAAUAGUACAUUACAGUACUGUAAAUAAUCAAAUGUGUGAGAUAUAACUCUUUUAAGCAUGAAACUGGCAUACUGCUGCAACCCUAAUAUAAUAUACUGUAUAAAAGUUAGUAUGCAUAGUGGUCUUAAAACAUUAGUCACAUUUAAAGUGCUGUAGUAAAGACUGAACUUUAAACAUGUUGUUACAUACUGAUGGUAGGUUAAAUUUUAAUUGUUAUUGUAAUUAAUACCCUGCUCAUUUUCUUGCACUUUGUGAAUUGUAACAGUACACUCUAUACAUGGCUUUGGGGCUCCGAUUUGAUUUUACAUGUCAUUACCUCAUUACAUAUUUCACGUUAAACAGACAUGCGUAAUUGUUUGCUAUUAUUAUUUUAAAAAAUUCAGGAUGACAUGCCCCUGAUCAGGAGGUAGUGGUGUGCUCUCAUACUGGACAACUUCACUCUGCAUGUAGCUGUUUGCAUGUUCCUACAUUAAACAUUAGUUUAUGUACUACAUCUACCAAUGUACUUGCCUACCUCUUGUCAUUUGUUUUUCUUAGCACUUUAUUCAGAGCAUGCAGUUAUGACAACAGCUUCCCCCAUGAAAUAAUAGCAACUGGUGAUUCUGCAUAUUUGACGCUUUCACUGGUAUGCAGAUGGUUUAGGGAUGUGGUCACAAAUGAAAUUUUCCAGAAAGCAGCACACUUUGCCUGGCUAGACAGUGUGGUCAACUGGAAAAAAAUUUCUCCGGACUACUGUGAUGAGUUUCGCCGGAUCUACAGCUUCAGGGAAUGCUUGGAGCUUUUCAAGUCCUAUCCGCCGGGGUACAGGGGAAGAGGAAGACGAGGGGAACUGCUGGGCUUUUACUCCGAGGAUCUUUGUACAGGAUUUUGCUCGCAGGACUGUUUUUUUUUUUUUUUUUUUUUUUGCUGCAGGAAAUGAAUUUCUGUAAAACUCAAAACUUGUAGAUGGGAAUUGAGAGAUGAACUGGUUUUGAUGUAGUAAUUGAUGCAACUAAAAGUUAAACUUAAAGGUCAAACUUGAAAAAUUAGAAUAUUGUGCAAAAGUUCAUGUUCAGUAAUUCAAAUUAAAAGGUGAAACUAAUAUAUUUAGUAUAAAUAACUAUAUAUGCAUAUGGCAUAAUUAUAUAUACUUUUCAGAGGGCUUACAUUUUUGUAAUAUUCUGAUUUUGUGAGAUUUUGAAUUUGAUGUUCAUCAAAAUUAUAACUUUUGCACGAUAUUACAAUUUUUCGAGUUUCACCUGUAUAGUGUUCUAUUGAAAAGCUAUGGCAAAAACAUAGGUUUCACUAAUUGUGCAUAUGGUAAAGUACCUUGGUUCUUUAAGGUUUGCAUAAAUUCCAUUCUGCUGAUGCAUAAGUGCAGUUUGGAGUCUAUAAUAAAGAAAAAGUGACAAAGUC